rnacentral:tRNA from 1 species
GGCGACAUAGCUCAGUUGGUUAGAGCGGCGGAAUCAUAAUCCGUAGGUCCGGGGUUCGAGUCCCUGUGUCGCCACCA